GUUAAUCUAAUUCCAUCUUGCCUACUUUAUUAUGUAGGCUUAAUUUGUACGUUAUGCUUUUGUGGCUGUGUUAUUUUUCAAUUUACUUUAGCUGUUAUGGUUUCAAACAGCUGAACUAUCAUGUGUGUGUAAGGGACACUCCAUAAGCACAAGCAAAUAAACAAAUCUAAACAAGGAAGGACGUUCACUGCUUAAUGGACAAAUGAGUUAGAAGUCUGUAUUCUGUGAACCAUGCUUUCUGCCUUGUGGAUGUCGAAAGUUGACUUCUGUGGAUUUGUUCGCUUCUGAGGAGUAAUCCUAAGGUGACUUUUUCUUUUUCGAGAGGCCGCUUUGUUUUUCCCCUUAUUUUUAAGGGGGUACAACUUUGGAUUGACGUCAUUAUAUUUCCAUAUGAUCAGUGUUUUAAAUAUCGGCCGCCAUGUCGGACAUGGCGGCCGAUAUGGCGGUUUUAUACCCUAGCCGCCACGAUAUCCUUCAUUUCAAUGCGUAUUGCGUUUCUGAGGUCAUGUCGGGGACAUGUCGGAAAAUAUCGGGUAUGUCGGGCGCUAUUGCGGCCAAGAAAUAUCGGCCAAAUUUAAAAAAAAAA